UGGCGGUGGCGGUGGCGGCGGCGGAUCCUGCUACAACUGUGGUGAGUCUGGCCACUUUGCCAGGGAAUGCCCGACCAACAAGUGAGGGGAGAUCCCUAUACUUUGCUAUCUUAUUUUGUUGAAGCUUUGCUGGAUGGUUUGUGUUUUGGAUGUUAAUGGUCUGUCUCUAUAGUCUGUCGUUUGGAUUAUGGGCUGGUGCUCGGUAGUUUGGUAAUGGUAUUUCAACUUGGUUGUGAAUCUCUUUUUGGGCUUGGCAUGCAA
rnacentral:misc_RNA from 1 species